rnacentral:rRNA from 1 species
CCCUUAGAUGUCCUGGGCCGCACGCGCGUUACACUGAUGCAUUCAACGAGCUUAUAACCUUGGCCGAGAGGCCUGGGCAAUCUUGUUAACGUGCAUCGUGAUGGGGAUAGAUUAUUGAAAUUAUUAAUCUUGAACGAGGAAUUCCUAGUAAACGCAGAUCAUCAAUCUGCAUUGAUUACGUCCCUGCCCUUUGUACACACCGCCCGUCGCUCCUACCGAUUGGAUUGGCUGGUGAAGCGUUCGGAUUGUGGGUUCGGAGCGGUUCGCCGUUCUGGGCUUGCGAGAAGUUCGUUAAACCCUCCUAUCUAGAGGAAGGAGAAGUCGUAACA